UACGGAGGAUCCAAGCGUUUAUCCGGAUUUAUUGGGUUUAAAGGGUGCGUAGGUGGCUUUUUUAAGUCAGGGGUGAAAGACGGUAGCUUAACUAUCGCAGUGCCUUUGAUACUGAAGAGCUUGAAUGAACUAGAGGUAGGCGGAAUGUGACAAGUAGCGGUGAAAUGCAUAGAUAUGUCACAGAACACCAAUUGCGAAGGCAGCUUACUAUGGUUUUAUUGACACUGAGGCACGAAAAGCGUGGGGAUCAAACAGG
rnacentral:rRNA from 1 species